CUUAGGGCUCUAGCUGUCUUGCGUCGACGAUGAACCCUUCGGGGUGGAUUAGUGGCGAACGGGUGAGUAACACGUGGGCAAUAGCCCAMACUCUGGGACAAGCCCUGGAAACGGGGUCUAAUACCGGAACGAGUCUGGGAGGCAUCUCCUGGACUGGAAAGCUCCGGCGGUGAAGGAUGAGCCCGCGGCCUAUCMSCUUGUUGGUGGGGUAAUGGCCUACCAAGGCGACGACGGGUAGCCGGCCUGAGAGGGSGACCGGCCACACUGGGACUGAGACACGGCCCAGACUCCUACGGGAGGCAGCAGUGGGGAAUAUUGCACAAUGGGCGAAAGCCUGAUGCAGCGACGCCGCGUGAGGGAUGACGGCCUUCGGGUUGUAAACCUCUUUCAGCAGGGAAGAAGCGAAAGUGACGGUWCCUGCAKAAGAAGCGCCGGCUAACUACGUGCCAGYAGCCGCGGGU
rnacentral:rRNA from 1 species